AACCCCUUCUGGCCUCAGGCCCCAGCAUUGAGUUUAGCUCAUCAGUGCACAAUCCUUCCUCAGUUAUGGGUAAACAACAACAACAACGUGCAGAGGAGAAAGCAACAAAACCCCAGGCCAAAUACCCAGGCUGUGAGUCUUUCAGCUCGGUCCACUCUUGUCCCUGGAAGAUGGGUCUGCUGCUGCCUGUGGUCUGUGUGGUCACUCUUCCGUUCCCUUGAGCUGCGGUGGCUAUGACAUAUUUCAGCAGAGCUCUCCCCAGCUGAUUCUUGUGCAGGCUCUGUUUACCUGCGUAUUCUUCUUUGUGGCUCUCUGCACCUCCUCCUCCACCUCCCCCAGAUCCUGACGCCAGAUGGGCCUGAAUUCACUCUAGCACACUCCUGCAGAAUAGGACAAAAUGCAAGAUCGGCGUCUCUCUAAUCCCAGGAGCAGACGGGACAAAUGAAGCCAACAACAGGAGACUUUUGAACAAAUUACCAAGGGAAGUUCUGGGAAUUCUACUGUAGAGCCUCAGUUCUGCUUGGAGUGGCAAUGCGCUCAUCCCCAGAGGGACAACUCCUGAUUAGUCGAGGCAAACUAUGGAAUGCCACUCCUCUUUGCCAAAGAAUAACCUAUGAGUGGGCCUGUGACCUAACUGGCCAAUGAGAUCUGAGGUGAAGUCUACUGGCUACUUGUGGGAAAGUUUUUCAUGUCUGAUGAACGAUAGCAAGAGGAGAAGAAAGGGUCCUCUUCCCCAUGCUCUCCCCUUCUGCUUGGGAUGACUUUCUGUAAGAGCAUGAUUCUUGGCACUGUGACAGCCAUCUUACUACCACCAGAGGAGACACGACUAACCUCCUGAGAAAGAGCAGAAAGAUGAGAGAACUUGGGUCUUUUCUGACCCUCAAUUGUUGCCUGCAUGUUGUAACUACCUACCUCUGGGUUUUUUUGUUACCUGAAAUAAUAACAUAUCUUUACUGCCUAA